GAUGAACGCUGGCGGCGUGCUUAACACAUGCAAGUCGAACGGGAUCGGCUGGAGCUUGCUCCGGCCGUGAGAGUGGCGAACGGGUGAGUAAUGCGUGACCGACCUGCCCCAUACACCGGAAUAGCUCCUGGAAACGGGUGGUAAUGCCGGAUGCUCCGACAUGACGCAUGUCGUGUUGGGAAAGAUUCAUCGGUAUGGGAUGGGGUCGCGUCCUAUCAGGUAGUCGGCGGGGUAACGGCCCACCGAGCCUACGACGGGUAGCCGGCCUGAGAGGGCGACCGGCCACAUUGGGACUGAGAUACGGCCCAGACUCCUACGGGAGGCAGCAGUGGGGAAUAUUGCACAAUGGGCGCAAGCCUGAUGCAGCGACGCCGCGUGCGGGAUGACGGCCUUCGGGUUGUAAACCGCUUUUGACUGGGAGCAAGCCCUU
rnacentral:rRNA from 1 species